rnacentral:lncRNA from 1 species
GGCCAGGAUGCUAGGGACACACAGUGAUAGAGGGAGGCUGAAGAUUCAAGUUUAUUAGCAGUAAGUUGCUGUUGCUCUCCCCAUCUCUUAAGAUAUCCUAUAACACCAUGUGCUCCUCUGUACCCAAAAAUAAGCCAAUUAAUUAUACUGUGAUCGUUUCUGCUGAUAAUAUACUAGCAGCAGUGAUAAAAGGAAUGUCACUAGACCAUUAUGAGAAUAAACAGUGUCAGAGAGAUGAGAGGAGAGUCAAUCCAUGGGAUUAUGUCUCCUGAAACAGAGCUUCACACCCUCCUCCGAUCCUGUCAGUGGAUGCUUGUGAUGGCUCUCUGUCAUCAACCAGGACACACACACACACACACACACACACAGACACACACACACACAGACACACAGACACAAAGACACACACACAGACACAAAGACACACACACAGACACACACACACACACACACACACACACACACACACACACACACACACACACGGGAUGAGCCUUUUAUCAAAAAUCUCAAGGCCAUCCCCAAAUAUCGUAUGCUCCUUAGAACACCAUGAUGUGUUCAGCAAUUGGAAUGGAUAACUUCUGGCUCUGCCCAGCUCUCCUCAGGAGUGUGGUCCACAAUAUCCCCGAUGGACCACUCCUUACCCUAGCCGGCAUGAGAACUGUGUAGGAAGAGAGUUUUGUGAGUCCCACCUUCCUGACCAUAGACUAGCGUCUCUUCAGGUAUUAUUUAUCAGAAUAAAAUAUCGCCUUAUAAUCCCAUAGCAAUUUUAAUUUCCACACGGUAGAUGCCAAGAUGAUAAUUUACCCUGUAGUAGAAGGUCAUACAUCAAAGAAUAUUUGGGCAGCAAAAAUUAAUCUUGAGUGAUAAACAAGGGAAUAGGACACAAAUUUGGGUCGGUAGAGGGGAGGGGCAGAUCUGUAAACAGUUGGAAAGGGUGAAUACAGUCAAAUGCACCAUAUUAAAUUCUAAGUGAUGAUGAUGCCCAUGAUGCCGAUGACAGUGAUGAUGGUGGUCUAGGCUGUAUGGAAAAUCCAGGGACUUUUGUUUUGCUUGGUUGUUGGCUGCUUUUUUUUUUUUUUUUUUUUUUUGGUUUUGUUAGAAACAGAAUGUGUUUCCACAACCUUUACAAAAGCCCAAAUAUCUCCCCACUAUGCUGAUGGGAGCACACUCCCGAGUCCCCUCAUUUUGUUGUCUGCUGUAAUAAACUUGGCUGGAGAACAGACAGGAUCCAGUCAUGUUCUGGCAGCCACGCUGACAGUGUCAGUGUGGGUAUUUACUUCAGCUUAACUUUCCUCUCGGAUUAAAAUUGUGUUCGUGUACUUUCAAGUUUGUUUUCUGUCCAAAAGAUUUUUAAUAAAACUUUAAGCACAAUUUCCUCUCUUUCACAAAGGAGGCUCUCAAAUACUGUGGAGGAUAGAAGCAAUUUUUAUGUGCAUACCUCUGGUUCCUGAGGGUCCAGCUCACUUCUGCUGUGAAUUUAAAUUAGUUCAUUUAAGUCGACGGGUCAGGAGCCACUGUCAUCAUGGUAGCCCUGUGCCUGGUUCUUAAUUAAAGGCAACAGGAGAUUAAUUUGAAACAUUAAUUUAAAAGUGCAUAU